UCUCGUUUGUUGUAAAACUUACUACAAAAAAUGUUUCAUUGGAAUAAGAAGGGGAAGGAAGAAGGCGAGUCGGUAUGCUAAUUUCUCAUCCUCCAAUCAGUCCUUCCCUAUGGUUUAUUGUCCCAACAAAUAAAUAAUUGUAGGAGUGAAAUCAUAAUC